rnacentral:misc_RNA from 1 species
GAUGAAGAACGUAGCGAAAUGCGAUAAGUAAUGUGAAUUGCAGAAUUCAGUGAAUCAUCGAAUCUUUGAACGCACAUUGCGCCCCUUGGUAUUCCGAGGGGCAUACCUGUUCGAGCGUCAUUAUAACCCCUCAAGCUCAGCUUGGUGUUGGGGCCUGCUGCACUGGCAGCCCUUAAAAUCAGUGGCGGCGCCAUCUGGCUCUAAGCGUAGUAAUUCUUCUCGCUAUGGAGUCCUGGUGGAUGCUUGCCAUCAACCCCCAAUUUUUCUAUGGUUGACCUCGGAUCAGGUAGGGAUACCCGCUGAACUUAAGCAUAUCAAUAAGCGGAGGA